CUUUUAAGAUCAAUAGAAUAUUAUCCUUCCAAAUCCUACUUACUGCAUCCCAGGUUCUUACUUCUGCACCUCCCUAACUUUUUAAAAUGUCCAUUCUACCUUUCACUGAAUAGUAAAACGAAAUCCUAAUUUUACAAUUCACUUUCUCACUCUUCACCUUGUGUGCAGCUGCUUCGUCUUUACUUCCUCUGCACCUCCCUCCCACGGCUGUUGCAAAUCUGUGCAAAUAUGUGCGUCUUCCACUCAUAAGCAUCGAUUUAACCUAUAUCUCCUCUCUUGCUUUCGUUUUCUUGUAGUUGCCCCUCCUCUUCGUGUUCGUGUAGGUGUGGUGUUCGAGUGUUGCUGGAAGGCGUUUCUUGAGAGAAGGUAGGCGGUCAGAGAACUGCACCUCCAAAAGUGGUUUGUUGCAUCUGCGUGUCUUCCCUUUCAUUCUUUUAUAAGGAUUAUGGCAAGGACAAGAGGUGCCGAUACCGUAGGUGAAGGCAGUAGUGGCGUUGAAAGACAAAGACCCGUGGCAUCAAUUCGAAGAAGGAAUCAUUGUGAAGCUCUUGAUAUAGACCUCGUUAGCUGAUCCUGCUGUAGUGGAUUCUGUAGGUGUAGGUGGAGGUGAGGCUAUAGUUGUAGAACAACCGGCAUUAAGGGUGAAGAGGUUGAAGAAGGAUUUGUUGGGGUCCAUUGGAUACUUCUCUACUAGUGGACUAUGUUGAUCAUGUGGCAUUGAAUCUCGUGGAAGAAAGUUGAGUAAACUAGAUGUUCUUGAUGGGCAUGUUGAGGAGUUUGUUCUAAAUUCUAGGUUGUUGCCUUUAUGUAACAUCAGGUAUGAGACAAUGGACAAAGGCUUGUUAUCAUCAUUUGUGGAGAGGUGACAUAGAGAUACACACAUUUCAUAUCUCCAUUGGUGAAAUGACGAUAACACCGGAUGAUGUUGAUGCAUUACUUCAUCUUCUGAUUAAGGGACAGUUUUGUCCGUUUGUCACUUUGGAGUUUGUUGUCGCUGUACCAGUCUUGGUGGACUUGUUAGGUGCGAAAAGGUCAAAUGUCACCUUAGAAAUGAGGCAUUGUCGGGGGCCACUUGUUAGAUUGAGCUGGUUGAGAGAGAUUUAUCAGGAGUUGUGUGCUUUGGAACGUUGGGACUUAGCCCCCCGAGCCUUCUUGUUGCAUUUGUUGGGUGCACGAUCUUUGCUGACAAAAGUGUCACUUCAGUCAGUAUCUCAUACUUACCUCUAUUCAGGGAUUUAACAUUGUGUGGUGGGUACUCUGUGAAGUUAUUGCAUUGACGUAUAUGUAUGAGCAGUUUAGUGAUGCUUGCUUUGCCCAUACAAAACAAUUAGGAGGUUAUGCAACACUUGUACAAGUAUUUUGUAUAGAGAUUGCAUUUAUAUUUAAUAUCUAAGUUGUUCGAAUGA